CCUACGGGCGGCAGCAGUGGGGGAUAUUGGACAAUGGGGGGAACCCUGAUCCAGCGACGCCGCGUGAGUGAAGAAGUAUUUCGGUAUGUAAAGCUCUGUCAGCAGGGAAGUAAGAAAUGACGGUACCUGACCAAGAAGCCCCGGCUAACUACGUGCCAGCAGCCGCGGUAAUACGGAGGGGGCAAGCGUUAUCCGGAAUUACUGGGUGUAAAGGGAGCGUAGACGGUUAAGUAAGUCUGGAGUGAAAGGCCGGGGCCCAACCCCGGGACUGCUCUGGAAACUAUUGAACUUGAGUGCAGGAGAGGUAAGCGGAAUUCCUAGUGUAGCGGUGAAAUGCGUAGAUAUUAGGAGGAACACCAGUGGCGAAGGCGGCUUACUGGACUGUAACUGACGUUGAGGCUCGAAAGCGUGGGGAGCAAACAGGAUUAGAUACCCGGGUAGUC
rnacentral:rRNA from 1 species